rnacentral:rRNA from 1 species
AAGGAUUCCCCUAGUAACGGCGAGUGAAGUGGGAAAAGCUCAACUUUGUAAUCUGGCAGCUUCGCUGUCCGAGUUGUAGUCUCGAGAAAUGUUUUCCGCGCUGGCAUGUGUAUGAGUCUGUUGGAAUACAGCGUCAUAGAGGGUGAGAACCCCGUUCAUGACACAUCUCCCAGUGCUUUGUGAUACAUUUUCGAUGAGUCGAGUUGUUUGGGAAUGCAGCUCAAAAUGGGUGGUAAAUUCCAUCUAAAGCUAAAUAUUGGCGAGAGACCGAUAGCAAACAAGUACCGUGAGGGAAAGAUGAAAAGCACUUUGGAAAGAGAGUUAAAAGUACGUGAAAUUGUUGAAAGGGAAACGCUUGAAGUCAGACGUGCGCAGUGCGAUUCAGCUCUAUUUCGGUAGAGUGUACUUCGUGCUAUUGCAGGCCAGCAUCGGUUUUGCGAGCCGGAUAAAGGUUAGUGGAAGGUAGCAUCUUCGGAUGUGUUAUAGCCUCUAACUGAAUACGGAUUGCGAGACCGAGGGACGCAGCACGGCGCAAGCCAGAAGAUUCGUCUUCUUCGUGCUUAGGAUGCUGGUGAAAUGGCUUUAAA